rnacentral:lncRNA from 1 species
AAGAAGGAAGUCAGAAUGACAAAACAACUUCAGGCCCCUUUGCUGCAGGUAUUGGUGUGAGAUUGGAAGUGUGGGAGUUGGAGGGAGGAGAAAAAGAAGCUGCACCAUCCAUGUAUUGCCAUAUAUUGUCCUGGAGCCACCCGUAUCAGCACACGUGCACAUGCACACAAGCACACACAAGCACAGCCUCUGGCAGCCCCUUCAGUAUUAUUGACCUAUGACUGUGUUUAGAAUAAUGCCUGUGGCAUAGAAUGUUCUUUAUGGUUUUUAGCUAUUCUUAUUAUUGUUUUAUGAACAAAAGUGUUCCAGCAUCAGAUUAAUUUGGGAAGGCUUUCAUUCCUAUGAGAUUUACAAUAAAAGUGAUAAAAAGUUUUUAAUUAGAGAAAUCUGUUUAACUUUAGUUAUUCUAGCAUUCCAAAACUGUUUAUUUCGAAACUCACC